CAUGCAAGUCGAACGAUGAACCACUUCGGUGGGGAUUAGUGGCGAACGGGUGAGUAACACGUGGGCAAUCUGCCCUGCACUCUGGGACAAGCCCUGGAAACGGGGUCUAAUACCGGAUACUGACCCGCUUGGGCAUCCAAGCGGUUCGAAAGCUCCGGCGGUGCAGGAUGAGCCCGCGGCCUAUCAGCUUGUUGGUGAGGUAAUGGCUCACCAAGGCGACGACGGGUAGCCGGCCUGAGAGGGCGACCGGCCACACUGGGACUGAGACACGGCCCAGACUCCUACGGGAGGCAGCAGUGGGGAAUAUUGCACAAUGGGCGAAAGCCUGAUGCAGCGACGCCGCGUGAGGGAUGACGGCCUUCGGGUUGUAAACCUCUUUCAGCAGGGAAGAAGCGAAAGUGACGGUACCUGCAGAAGAAGCGCCGGCUAACUACGUGCCAGCAGCCGCGGUAAUACGUAGGGCGCGAGCGUUGUCCGGAAUUAUUGGGCGUAAAGAGCUCGUAGGCGGCUUGUCACGUCGGUUGUGAAAGCCCGGGGCUUAACCCCGGGUCUGCAGUCGAUACGGGCAGGCUAGAGUUCGGUA
rnacentral:rRNA from 1 species